rnacentral:rRNA from 1 species
UAGGGAAUUUUCGUCAAUGGGCGCAAGCCUGAACGAGCGAUGCCGCGUGAGUGAAGAAGGCCUUCGGUCGUAAAGCUCUGUUGCGGGGGAAAAAGGACAGCAUCAGGAAAUGGGUGCUGACUGAUGGUGCCCCGCCAGAAAGUCACGGCUAACUACGUGCC